AGUAUGAAGCAGAUUCGGGACAGUGAAGCAGAACAGGGCUGGAGAGAAAGGAAGGAGGUGAGAAGGACCCAUGUGAAGUUUUCGAGGUUGGAAAGAACAAAACCUAUACCGCAGUCCUCUUAAGUGCUUUUAGUCUGACAGUGUCUGUAUCAGUGGCCUUGUGCAGCUAGCCAUGUGGCUCCUGUGGGUGUAUGUGCGGCUUGGCAGGGGCUGUGGCAUGGGAGCAGGGGCCUGGGUUCCUGUUUGUCUACUAUUCUCCUUUUUUGCACAAGGCAGCCACUCACUGGAAGCCAGGAGGUGUGGGUCCCAGAUUCUUCUCGCCCCAACCUCCCCCAGAAAAUAAAUCACACAUGAUUUCAUUAAAUGCACCUCCUGCUGGGGAUGUUGGCUCAUAAUUCCUCUCUGAUUAACCCCCACUACCCCGGCAAGUUUAUAGGCCAAGAGAGGGAGAGGGAGAGGGGGGAAGGUAAAAGGAGGGAUGGGGGGAAUCCCAGGCGGGUGAUGGAUGCCUCUGUCAGCCCAGCUCGUAUUUAUUAAUAGUCUUAAUACGGGAAGCAAUAAAGGAAGAGAGGGAUUCUAUUAAUUAAAUCAUUGUUAUAAUUAACUUUCAUUAAAGGAGGAUCAAUAAAGAGGGGUUGGGAUGGAGAGAGGAGAGAUCCAUUAUCUCUAAUUUCCUUGGAAGGGAUUCAGGGAACGGGAUGGGGUUGCUAGGAGACGGAGACGUGAGGGAAGAAGGAACGAUGUAAGAAGUCAUCCAGGUGGGGCUGGAAAGGGGGUGGACAGGAGCAUUUCAGGUGAAUGGAGAAAGGGAAUGGUGGGGGUGGUCCACACAGGGGCCCUGAAGGGAGAGGAGGCCAGACUCCCACUUGAGACAACCCACUCAUGGCCAGCAC
rnacentral:lncRNA from 1 species